UCAGAGCUUACCCUUUCCAGAGACCCUGUCUUUAGGGAACCACCGCCCUCUCCAGGGACUUUCCCUUUUGGGGGUACCUAUAUCUCCAGGGACCACAUGCCUAUCAGGAACUCCUACCUCUUUAGGGACUCCUGUCUCUCCAAGGAGCCCCCCACCCUCUCUAGAUAACUCCACCUUCCAGAGACACCCCCACCUCUUCAGGGACCCCCUUAUUCUCCAGGUUCUUCAACUCUUUGUGGUGGCAAGCUUGCAGGUUGUCCCAAACGUUGGCCCACAAGAAUCUGCUGGUUUGGGGAAACUGGGAGACAGAUAGGAACAGACUGACAGAAGAUUUGCAAGCUAACAGCCUCUCAGACUUCAGAUCCUACUGGCAGGAAUGUGUGUAAGUAAUUAAGGCUUCGAUCAAGGACAAGGGAAAUAGUCAGAAGUCGGUUUUCUGAAUUCUCCACAUGAAUAACUGCUGCUCACUAAGGAAUAUUUUAACCUAAUAAAAAUACUUUUGGAAUAACA